rnacentral:rRNA from 1 species
GACGGAGGGUGCUAGCGUUGUUCGGAAUGACUGGGCGUAAAGGGCGCGUAGGCGGCUCGUGAAGUCGGGUGUGAAAGCCCGGGGCUCAACCCCGGAACGGCAUCCGAUACUGGCGGGCUUGAGACCGGGAGAGGAGGGUGGAAUACCCAGUGUAGAGGUGAAAUUCGUAGAUAUUGGGUGGAACACCGGUGGCGAAGGCGGGUCUCUGGGCAGUAACUGACGCUGAGGAGCGAAAGCGUGGGGAGCGAACAGG